rnacentral:rRNA from 1 species
CUUUUCUUGUUUUUAUUUGAGAUAUGACCUGCCCACUGAUAUAAUUAAAUGGCCGCAGUAUAUUGACUGUGCAAAGGUAGCAUAAUCAUUAGUCUUUUAAUUGAAGGCUGGAAUGAAUGGUUUGACGAAAUAUAAGCUGUCUUAUUUAUAAUAAUUAAUAUUAGAAUUUAAUUAUUGUGUUAAAAGGCAUAAAUUUUUUUACGGGACGAUAAGACCCUAUAGAAUUUAAUAUUAUAUAAUUUAUUUUUAGUUUAUUAUUGUUUUUAAUUUUGUAUAUUAUUUUGUUGGGGUGAUUGUUAGAUAUAUUUAACUCUUUUUUUUUGUUGAUUAUUAAUUUAUAUUGUUUUUGAUCCAUUAUUUUUGAUUAUAAGAUUAAAUUACCUUAGGGAUAACAGCGUAAUUUUAUUUAAGAGUUCAUAUUGACAAUAAAGAUUGCGACCUCGAUGUUGGAUUAAAGUAAAUGAUUUUGGUGUAGGAGCUUAAAAUUUUUAGUCUGUUCGACUAUUUAACUUUACA